rnacentral:misc_RNA from 1 species
CCUCGGGUAUAUAGAAUUCUUAGAAAACUACGCAACUCAGCAACUGUGAUUGUCCAGUCCUUUUUCAAAACUCGAUGCGCCUCGGUUUCAGUGCAAUCGUUUCCGUGUUCCAUUAUGUGUCUGUCAAUUAUUAAUUCGAAAGCACUAACAUAAUAAUAUUUCUCUUAGCAUAGCCAGUAGGCCCUGCAAUAUCCUUGAAUAUCAUACGAACGGGCGUCCUAUCCCUAGAUUCACCAGCUUUCAGUUUUAUGCACUAUGUCC